UGGUAUACAUGUAUAUAUUUUCAUAUAUACAUACAUAAUAAAAGUCACUGUGCAAGUCAAUUGCGGGAACUUUUUGGCUUUGAAGUGCUUGGGCUACUAAUGUCAUUUAACCCACACUAGUAACAAAUAUUCAAAUACAUAACUAAAGUUCUAUUAUGAAAUAUAUAAAUUUUAACUUAUUUAUUAUUUUUUUCAAGCAAUAUUCUUAAGGACCGGAAAUAUUUUUGAAAUGCUGCGUCAUUACAAAAUAAAUAGAAAAUAAUGUGCGUUAAUGAGUGUAACGUUUUUUUAUCGAUUACGUACUUGCACACAUAUUUGUAUUUUUGUUGUUGCUGAGAACUACACCAUUUGUCUGCUGGGUUUUGCAUAUGCAUGUAUUAGUGGGAGUAUUUCUGAUUUUGCCAUUUUAUGUAAUUUAAAAGUGCAAAGUCAUAGUUUGAUUAACUAAAAUAGCAGAUAUUGUAUUGGUAUGAUGCAUAGGCUUGGGGUUUACAAUUGCUCUUCAAACACAUUUAAUGAUCAAACGGAGGAUCCUGAAAAUAAAUUCUAUGAUACUGAAGGAUUUUUACGAAAUCAAUAAUUUACUUGUAUUACGCCAAUACGAUCGAUAAAACAGCCGUUCCCACGACAGGCGGGUCUAUUGUAACCGAAACGGAGCCGAUACAACAUGAAUAGCAUGACAAAUUGGAAUAUAUACAAAUCAAUGUCUCAAAAUAACGUAAUUGUUAAAUAAGUACAUAUGUACAUGUUUUUAAAAAUGUAUAUGUAUACAGUAUGCACAUAAUAAUGGUAAUCCUUAAAUCCUGAAGGCAGUAAUCAGCGAAGUCAUUUUUUAAUUACAAGUCAUAGGGUUACAUCUACGGAAAUAUUUCUUUAUCAGCUAUGGAAU